rnacentral:rRNA from 1 species
CCUACGGGUGGCAGCAGUGAGGAAUAUUGGUCAAUGGACGCAAGUCUGAACCAGCCAUGCCGCGUGCAGGAAGACGGCUCUAUGAGUUGUAAACUUCUUUUGUAGGGGGAUAAACGCAUCCACGCGUGUAUAUUUGCAUGUAUCCUAUGAAUAAGCAUCGGCUAACUCCGUGCCAGCAGCCGCGGUAAUACGGAGGAUUCAAGCGUUAUCCGGAUUUAUUGGGUUUAAAGGGUGCGUAGGUUGUUUUUUAAGUCAGCGGUGAAAGUUUGAGGCUCAACCAUAAAAUUGCCGUUGAAACUGGAAGACUAGAGUGUAGUUGCGGUAGGCGGAAUGUGUGGUGUAGCGGUGAAAUGCUUAGAUAUCACGCAGAACACCGAUUGCGAAGGCAGCUUACUAAGCCAUAACUGACACUGAGGCACGAAAGCGUGGGGAUCAAACAGGAUUAGAUACCCGUGUAGUC